GUUUCACCAGCAGUAUAACCACUACAAAUCCAAUGUGGAGGUUUUCAAGUUACAACUGAAUAAACCCAGCAAAGAACUGGCAGAACUGGUGAUGUUUCUGGCACAGAUCGGCCACUGCUAUCCAGAACACCUAAGUAACUUCCCUCAAGAGCUGAAAGAACUUCUCUCCUAUAACCAUACCGUCUUGGAACCAGAUCUUCGCAUGAGCACACUCCCAUGAAUCCUUGUAAUGGAUCAGGCUCUGUGUCCAAGCGGCCCAGCUAAGACAUUUUCAAGUGGAGUACACCUGUCUUUCCAACAGCGUUACAGCAGCCUCUCACACAGAUAAAUUG